GUUGAAAAGUAUUGGUAGUGUACACAGCCUAUAGCACAAUUUGAAAUGCCAAUUCAUAUGAUAAUUAUGUAUUAUUUUAGAUUGUUUGGGAUUAUUUAAAAUUACACAAGGAUGAAAUGAGGAGCCCGAUAGCAUGAUCAAUAUAGAGAUCCCCUUGUCUGGCAUUCUUUAAAAUGGUAGCCCUUCAAAUCUGGAAUAAAAUAAGAAAUGGGUUCUAAAGAGGUGUGAAGAGCAAAUUUUCUAUUCCUCAAAAAAAAAAAAAUUGACUUUCAGAAGUAUAUUUUGGAAUUCAAGCAACUGAUCUUUUAAAAGUACUUAUUUCAUAAUAUAACAAAUGUCCAACCUGCCUUUUAGGUAAGGAAGUCUAGCAUUGCUGUCUCCCAAAUCAUGGAGAAUCGCUUUUCUAAGGUUCAGAAUUUUGUAAGAGAUUUCCAACAGCCCAGUCUGUCUGCCCGUGGUUGUAGCCUUUGCAAGUACUAGGCAAUCUUCUAAAUGUCAAUUUUAUUUUAUAAAGAGCCAAAUUUUUGUCACAGACUGAGAACAAGUUUUGUAAAGAAACAUAAGGAAGUUAAAUAGGUUUUAUUUUUGAAAAGGCAGUUUCAGAGGAAGGAGCAAUACUGACCACACUAGGGAAGUAUUUAAGAGUGUUUUUCCCGAAGGGAACGAGUUUUUGUUCACACCCAUGCCCCAAAGCAAAAUUCCAAAAUUCAGUUGUUGUUGUUGUCUUCCAGGGCUGUUAACCUCAACUCCAGGGAGUGCGGGCAUUCUGGUGGAAAUGUAAGAGCUGCCAACCGUGCCCAGCUCCAGGGGUCCGAACUCCCUUCUGCUCAGCUCAGCUGGCCUCUACCGGGAGCUUCCAGCUUCUUCCUCACGGGCAGGUCCUUUGAAACUGUUACCCGAGGUCAUUUCCUGAGGACAGUCAACGGCAUCUUCAUGUAUCCUGGAAUGGGAAAUUGUGCCUGAAAAUCUGAAUUGAAUAAACAUGGAAAACAGAUCCUCUGUUAUUUUGGACUUUGCGAUUUACCAUCGAGCCAUUAAAAAUGAAUUUACGCAUCAGUCAACAUGCCCAGGGAGACUACUUUCCUGGCAGAGGAAACAACAGCUUCAAAAUGGGGUUGUACGAGCCUUGAGUUCUGGGGGUGAGGGCUGCGCUGCCCGGCACUACCGACCACCGACCACCGCCUGGAGCCGUGAGAAGGUCGGAGGGGAUGACACUCCCACCUUGGGCCUCAGGCCUGGGCCACCGUUGUCCUCCCGCAGGCCCUGCAGCCUCUGGCCCGAGCAGAAGUGUGCUGCUGGCCACUGCGAGCCUUGGCUUUUGACUCUGCCCCUUCCAGGCGGUUCAGAAGAUCUCACAGACGCAGGCUUCACUCUCCAGAUCACUAUGUUACAGCCCAGGGGUUCUAAAAGGAUUCAGCAACAUUCUCUGUAGUCCAGGGAGUCCGAGGCGACGCAGAUGCCUGUGGUAAGGGAUCGAUUAUGUGAUAGCAGAGGCCUGGGAUUUGGGCAGGAGACUGAUGUGCAGUGGCUCCUCCCUCUGUGAGUGGGGAUGGAGUUGGCCUUCUGCGUGUUGGCCCAGACCGCCCCCCCCCUUGGGGCCAGGGACACUGCCCGGGGAGGGCUCCGGCUCCCCGAAGGAGGGAAGUUGGUGAGGUUCCUGCCCUGUCUGGGGGCGGGGGGUGGGUCUCAGAGCUGAAGCAAAAAUGAUCAACUUUUAUUGGCACAAGGUCUGCCCUCCUUGGCCGAAACCAGAUGGGGCCAAAUGCUCCUUUAUUAGCCAGACAGCAGGUACGAGAAUGGGCCACUAUUUCAGACAGUAGACUUUUAUGUGAUUCCAUAGAAAUUUUAUAGUUCUUUCCGAUAACGCGAGAGAAAAUAACCUCAUCAAUUUCUGUCUUAAGAUUUGCUUGAGAAAUGUGCCCAGUGGGAUGUUUGCGAUGAGUAACAGAUUUCUGUGAAUGUGAUUUUUGUUAGUGUUUAUUUAAACAGAGAAUUGUAGUCAAAAUGCAGCCUUCAUCUUUCUCCCUGAUUUUUUUUUUAAAGGCUAGUUAUAUUUUUGUGGUUUGAAAAAGUCUUUUUUAAAUUCUGAAGACUUAAAAAAAACUUUGUUUGCUGUGGUUAUUUUUCUAUAUGUGUUAACAUCUAAAAAAAAAAAAAAAAAGAAGUGCUGAACACCAAAAUUGUAUUUUGAAUAAAGAAUGUAAA
ensembl:lncRNA